AUGGACAUGGCUAAGCCCUCGCUGGUUUUUGGCACCGUCCUCGCGGCGUGCCUUGCGCUCGCCGCGGCCGACUGGUCUCCGGCGCACGCCACGUUCUACGGCGGGAACGACGCCUCCGGCACAAUGGGUGGCGCAUGCGGGUACAGCAACCUGCAUGACCAGGGGUACGGGGUCGACAACGCAGCACUCAGCACGACGUUGUUCAACAAUGGCGCGUCGUGCGGGCAGAGCUACCUCAUCAUCUGCGACACCAGCAAGACGCGGUGGUGCAAGCCCGGCACCGCCGUCACCGUCUCGGCCACCAACCUCUGCCCGCCCAACUAG
rnacentral:rRNA from 1 species